rnacentral:rRNA from 1 species
UACGGAGGGGGCUAGCGUUGUUCGGAAAUACUGGGCGUAAAGCGUACGUAGGCGGGUCCUUAAGUCGGGGGUGAAAUCCCGGAGCUCAACUCCGGAACUGCCUUCGAUACUGGGGACCUCGAGUCCGGGAGAGGUGAGUGGAACUGCGAGUGUAGAGGUGAAAUUCGUAGAUAUUCGCAAGAACACCAGUGGCGAAGGCGGCUCACUGGCCCGGUACUGACGCUGAGGUGCGAAAGCGUGGGGAGCAAACAGG